AUUGAACGCUGGCGGCAUGCCUUACACAUGCAAGUCGAACGGUAGCGGGCCUUCGGGUGCCGACGAGUGGCGAACGGGUGAGUAAUGUAUCGGAACGUACCUUUCAGUGGGGGAUAACGUAGCGAAAGUUACGCUAAUACCGCAUAUUCUGUGAGCAGGAAAGCAGGGGAUCGCAAGACCUUGCGCUGAUUGAGCGGCCGAUAUCAGAUUAGCUAGUUGGUGAGGUAAAGGCUCACCAAGGCGACGAUCUGUAGCGGGUCUGAGAGGAUGAUCCGCCACACUGGAACUGGGACACGGUCCAGACUCCUACGGGAGGCAGCAGUGGGGAAUUUUGGACAAUGGGGGCAACCCUGAUCCAGCCAUGCCGCGUGAGUGAAGAAGGCCUUCGGGUUGUAAAGCUCUUUCGGCCGGGAAGAAAUCGUAUCAGCUAAUACCUGGUGCGGAUGACGGUACCGGCAUAAGAAGCACCGGCUAACUACGUGCCAGCCGCCGCGGUAAGAC
rnacentral:rRNA from 1 species